UUUGUGGGGCAGAGCCAGCCCCUCUGCCAGACUCCUCCGGCUGUUCCUUCAGCCACAAUUCUGCGCAAGCAUGCAUGUGAGAGAGUGCGCACGCAUAAAAAUCCUUGCUAAGGUAGUAAAUGACAGGAUUACAAAUUUCAUGAAACUCAAGUCUCCCAGGCGCCCUGCUGGAGCUUUUCCAAAGCCUGGCAACUAAACUGCAGGACUCAGCAUGCUGAGCUCUGUGCCGACUGCAGCCCACGUAGCACGUUUCUGGCAGGAGGCUCCAGGCUCCCGAGAUGCCUCUGAGAUACCCUGUGGCAGCAGAUGCAGCUGGAACGGUGUGUCUGCGUGGUAUAUAUGUCACGGUUAUGUGUUUCAUAAAAUACGAAGGGUGUGACAAUAUUAGUAUCAUUAGGGUUUUAAUAAAUUGAACAAAGAGACCACAGUUAGGAAAGGGCACUGUAGGAGGUUGCAAGUUCGGUUGUAUUGCUAUGUCCCCUUUACAUGAAGUAUAUAUGUGUCCAUAUUCUUCUGUGCUGGACCUGAGCAUCUUAAAAAAUAGACUCUAGGUGAGGUAGGAUAAAAGGAGUGUUGUUGCUUUUAUUGAGCAUUCAUUACCAGCAUUGACAGAAGGUUGCUUUUCUCAGUUUUAAGUCUUUGUUGAGUUCCUGGUGCUGAAAAUACCCGCAUUGAAAUAAACUUCAUUGAGAGUACUCCCAUUGUCAUUUAAAAAUAAGCUUCGUAGUCUUAAUUUAACAUCUGAGUCUUAAACCAGGCACGUAGGCUGAUUUUAUAGGAGGUGUUAGUGGUGCGGAGAGAAAGAUCAGCAGACAUUUCAUCUCCUCCUGUGAGAAGUUUCUAAAGGAAGUCAGGCAAGUUCAACGCUAAAGGAAGUACAGUUUUCACUUUCUUAAUUUUAAUUGACCUGUGGUCUUAAAAUACUGCAACGUGUAUUGGCUGUUUCCAGAAAAUUGCCCUUCUGGUACAGCCUGCUAGCAUGUUAAAAUACAGCACAACUCUGUUAAUUCUAAGCUGGAACGGAUCUUAUCUUAACACUCGUACUGAAAAUUGUAAUGCUGAGGAGUUAACAAUAUGCUUACGGUGUAAUUUGAGUCAAUAGCUGAUUAUUCGGAAGAAAUUUGCUAGCUCUGCAAAACUUCCAACCUUACAAAUUGCUGAAUGGUUUUAUCAUCAUAGUGCCUCGCUACCACCAGGAGAUGAUGCCAGGAAAUCGUGUUUGAACAAACUCAUUGUUCUCCUUUUUUUUUUUUUUUUUUUUUUCUGUGGAGGAGUUAAACAUUUGAUGCUCUCUGUCCCCGAUCUCAAGCAGCAGAGAAAAUAUUUCUGCAAAAAUGGUUUCUCUUCAGUGUUGUGUAGGAUUAUGUAUGACUCUUGCUUGUUUCUUAUCAUCUCAUAAUAGGUCUUUAAGCACCACGACUGCCCUUUGUCCAGCCCUUUUGUGAUCCACUAGAUCAUCUCAGCUGUGGUAGCAAUAUACUAAGUCGCAGCUGUUGAAUCAGAAGUGAGUUCUGAAUAUUUAACAUCAGUGGGAAAGAUAGCAGAGCUGUCAGAGCAAGUGAAAGAUAAACAAUCAGGAAAAAAAUAGUAAAAGUGAAAUGUAUUGAUCAAGAUGGUAUGAAAAUAAUGUGUACUCUGCAUGUGUGUGUGCAUGUGUUCACAUGUGUGCAGAUGCAUUUGUGAGUAGAUGCAGCUACAGUCUUUUUCAGUCACAAAUUGCUAAUCAGCAGAUCCUGGCUAUGAAUUUGGCUAGAAAAUCUUCCUGCCAAAAAUGGGAUUUCAUGUAAAUUGGAGUAUGCCUCAGCAGAACGUCUGAUGGAGUUAAACACCCCAUUAAAGGAAACAAUACAUCCAGUUCCAAAAUGACAUUU